CGUUAGCCCAGACUCGCCUUCGAUCUGGAAUCUAGCGCCGAUAGAGGGCUCUUCACGGUAGUGGCGUUGCGAACACCACCGGAGAACAGUUUCGCAAAUGAGUUUGUCGAAUACUUGUGUGCAAGAGAUUCGGAACUGAGAAAACGAUAGCCACACUACGCCCGUAGAAGCCCUGUUUUAAUUCCGAAGGACCCGGGUUCGAUUCCCGGCACCUCCACCA
rnacentral:tmRNA from 1 species